UGCUGACUCUACGGAGAUGGAUGAUAAGGCAGCAGUAGGCGUCUCCAAGCCCCUCCCUUCCGUGCCUCCCAGCAUUGGCAAAUCGAACGUGGACAGACGUCAGGCAGAAAUUGGAGAGGGGGCUCAAAAGCUGCUGCGGCCCAACAGCUUGAGACUGGCAAGUGACUCAGAUGCAGAGUCAGACUCUCGGGCAAGCUCUCCCAACUCCACCGUCUCCAACACCAGCACCGAGGGCUUCGGGGGCAUCAUGUCUUUUGCCAGAAACAGGAGGGCGUUAGUGGAUCAGAAGUCAUCUGUCAUUAAACACAGCCCAACAGUGAAAAGAGAACCUCCAUCACCCCAGGGUCGAUCCAGCAAUUCUAGUGAGAACCAGCAGUUCCUGAAGGAGGUGGUGCACAGCGUGCUGGACGGCCAGGGAGUUGGCUGGCUCAACAUGAAAAAGGUGCGCCGGCUGCUGGAGAGCGAGCAGCUGCGAGUCUUUGUCCUGAGCAAGCUGAACCGCAUGGUGCAGUCAGAGGACGAUGCCCGGCAGGACAUCAUCCCGGAUGUGGUCAGUGUUGGGGGUA
rnacentral:sRNA from 1 species